GGCUGGAUAGCUCAGUCGGUAGAGCAUUGAUCCUGUAUUCCAAUGGACGCUGGUUCAAAACCCGCUGCAGCCG